rnacentral:lncRNA from 1 species
GCCAAUAUAUGGUAGCACUCGGUCGGGUGAGGGUUGACAAUUGUGAAAAAUUGGUCAAGAAUGGUGUAUACGGGAGGGUGCGGAUCUUUAAAAAUUCAUCUCUUCAUAACCGAAACCAACCAAACAAUUGCAUUAAGUAGCAAACUGAAUUACCCACUUAAGUAGCGGGAGGGGUAUUUUGAUAAUUUCAGGGGGUGUCAAAAGAAACUCUCUUGUAUUCUA